rnacentral:misc_RNA from 1 species
GUGUUCUUCUGUGCGUCACAUAAACAGUUCAUACCGCUGCAAGUUUGUCCGUUUGGAUCCAAGUUGUGAUAUGUCUGAAGGAUUUAUUCAUUACAUACAGUUCAGUUACUGUUCAUUUCCAAGUAAACUUCUUCCUCUUGGCUAUUGUUUACUGUUUAUGUGGCUGGUUUUUCUAUUCAUCACUCUUGGAUUGACAGCAGAUGACUACUUCUGUCCAUCUCUAGCAGUGAUUUGUGAAACUUUAGGUAUCAGUCAGAACAUUGCUGGAGUUACAUUCCUUGCCUUUGGCAAUGGUGCACCUGACAUCUUUAGUGCUCUGGCAGCUUAUUCUCAGAGUAAAAAUCAAACUGGAGUACAGCUUGGAAUGCAAGCCCUCUUUGGUGCUGGUAUUUUUGUAACUACAGUGGUUGUUGGGGUAAUAUCAUUUAUCUCAACGGAAAUCAAACUGACAAGCCGUCCUUUCAUCAGGGAUGUAUUGUUCUACUUGGGAGCCAUGUCAUGGACUUUUAUUACCUUAUACAAGGAAAAUAUUACUAUGGAAGAGGCAAUAGGUUUCAUAGCAUUUUAUGUUGUGUACAUCGCUGUGGUUAUUAUUGGACGCUAUGUCUAUCAGAGGUGUAAAAGGACAGCAGUGCGAGUGGAAAUACAACCUGACCCAGAGAUAGAAUCCAGUGGACAAUUUUUUGAGACGCACAACGUAGCAUGGACAAGAAAACAGUUGAAUGCUAGUCAACAAUCCAGGACAGAUUUAAGUAUCAGUACAAGAGAAUUUGAUGUCCACUGCCGAAACAAAAGCACUUCUCUAUCUAAUAGUAUGGUUUCAGGUGCCCUGAUUUCAUCGGAAAAAACCCUCAUAGCCCCAGCAUUUCAAAAUGCUCCAGCUCUUGUCAGGCAGCAUUCUGCCAAUUCAGAUGAGGAUUUGCCUCUUCUGGGAGGUGAAAGGAAAGUUACUGCUUGGAGAAAAUUUAUUAUUGGACUGGAACCAAUUGACUGUGAGGACUGGAGCAGAAGUAACAUUUUCAAGAAAUUAUUUUUGAUUUGUAAGGCUCCAGCUGUAUUUUUUUUAAAUCUUACCAUACCAGUGGUGGAUUAUGAUGAAGAGGAUCAUAACUGGAAUAAAUGGCUGAAUGUUUUACAUUGCAUAACAAUGCCUGUGUUUGGUGUCCUGGCUACAAAAGCCGGUAGUCAUUUAAUUGGUGGCAAAUUUCCUGCCUGGGCCCUGGCUCUCUGUGCUGGACUGCUUCUAGCUUUGGUUGUAGCUAUGACGACAAAGAGUGAAAAGAGGCCUCGGGGUCAUUCGUUGUUUGCCUACCUGGCGUUUGUGAUUUCCGUGGUCUGGAUUUACACCACAGCAAAUGAGAUUGUAAACCUUCUCAAGACUUUCGGUAUCGUGUUUGGUUUAAGUGAUGCACUUCUUGGCCUUACUUUUCUUGCAUGGGGAAACAGUUUAGGUGACCUUAUAUCAAACACGGCCAUGGCAAGGCAGGGGUUUGGUCGUAUGGCUGUAUCAGCCUGCUUUGGGGGUCCUUUGUUAAGUAUCCUUUCUGUAAGGAGUGUGAAUCAUUGUCAGUGAGGUACUCUAAGCGUGCAAACGCUUUGCAAGCGAGGGAAACUUUGUCAAUAUCAGAUUUUAAUGAGUUCUUCACCCAUUUAAGAUUUAUGAUUCUGCGAAGUUACUACUACAGAAGCACUAGUAGCGUUGGGGGUAAAAAGCGAUCCUUAUUUAUUUUCUGACUGGCUUAUACGUGAAUGAAACCUCAACAACUUGUCACUUUUACGACACGCGCAGCGGUGGAUUUGAAAGAGUUACUUUUUGUGAUUCGCCAACAGCGUUUGCGGUUAUGGUAUCCUACUGGCCUUAUUGGGAUUCAUGCCUCGGAAAAGCUUGUUCUUUUUUUACGGAUUCAGUACGUUUUCGCUCACAUUAGUAAAAUAGUGUAGACUCAUCAGGGAAAAUAUGAAGCAGCACUGUAUUGCCUUUGAAUAGAAAAGUUUCCUUAUCAUUUGUUUAGAUAUGUUACUAGGUAUUGGUAUAUCAUGUACUUAUGUCACAGUGUCACAUGGACAUGCAAUACUUUUACGUCACAAAUAUAACCAGUACGUGAUCUCAG